AGAUGUGAGGGUCGUCUGGCUGCGACAUCAGUCACCCCACUGAUCGCCCGGAUUGAUUUGGCUGAUCCGGCUGGCUAGGCGGGUGUCCCCUUCCUCUCUCACUGCUUCACGUGCAGCCCUCCCAGAGCUACGUGCUUGGUCAAGGAGGAAGACCUUCUCCCACAGAGGGCCAUUCUUCAGUCAAGGGUAAACAAGUAGCUGCACUUUCCUGCUAGAACCUUCGAACAAGCUCUCUAAAUAUGUUCCCACUUCAAACACUGUAUUUGUUUAUACAUGUAGCCAGAGUGGCUGGUAGUCAUCUGAGCUACGUUGGGCUUCUUUGCUAGAACAUCCCCUUCU
ensembl:misc_RNA 7SK 7SK RNA